GAUGAACGCUGGCGGCGUGCCUAAUACAUGCAAGUCGAGCGAACGGACGAGAAGCUUGCUUCUCUGAUGUUAGCGGCGGACGGGUGAGUAACACGUGGAUAACCUACCUAUAAGACUGGGAUAACUUCGGGAAACCGGAGCUAAUACCGGAUAAUAUUUUGAACCGCAUGGUUCAAAAGUGAAAGACGGUCUUGCUGUCACUUAUAGAUGGAUCCGCGCUGCAUUAGCUAGUUGGUAAGGUAACGGCUUACCAAGGCAACGAUGCAUAGCCGACCGGAGAGGGUGAUCGGCCACACUGGAACUGAGACACGGUCACGACUCCUACGGGAGGCAGCAGUAGGGAAUCUUCCGCAAUGGGCGAAAGCCUGACGGAGCAACGCCGCGUGAGUGAUGAAGGUCUUCGGAUCGUAAAACUCUGUUAUUAGGGAAGAACAUAUGUGUAAGUAACUGUGCACAUCUUGACGGUACCUAAUCAGAAAGCCACGGCUAACUACGUG
rnacentral:rRNA from 1 species